AACGAACGCUGGCGGCAGGCCUAACACAUGCAAGUCGAACGCCGUAGCAAUACGGAGUGGCAGACGGGUGAGUAACACGUGGGAACAUACCCUUCGGUUCGGAAUAACUCAGGGAAACUUGAGCUAAUACCGGAUACGUCCGCGAGGAGAAAGAUUCAUCGCCGGAGGAUUGGCCCGCGUCUGAUUAGCUUGUUGGUGAGGUAACGGCUCACCAAGGCGACGAUCAGUAGCNGGUCUGAGAGGAUGAUCAGCCACAUUGGGACUGAGACACGGCCCAAACUCCUACGGGAGGCAGCAGUGGGGAAUAUUGGACAAUGGGCGCAAGCCUGAUCCAGCCAUGCCGCGUGAGUGAUGAAGGCCCUAGGGUUGUAAAGCUCUUUUACCCGGGAAGAUAAUGACUGUACCGGGAGAAUAAGCCCCGGCUAACUUCGUGCCAGCAGCCGCCGUAAU
rnacentral:rRNA from 1 species